CCGAGUUAGGGUCCUCUCAGGCCCGACCUCCCAACCCUUUGUCUAACUUACCACUGUUGCUUCGGCGGGCCCGUCCUCACUCGGACCGCCGGGGGACCCUCCAAGGUCCUCUGGCCCGCGCCCGUCGACAGCCCCAACCUUAAAAACUCUUGAACAAAACAUGUCAUUAAUCUGAGUUUUCUAUUGAAAAAUACAAGUAA
rnacentral:misc_RNA from 1 species